GGCAAACUCUACGUGUAUCCGAUUGCCUUAGUGCAUAUGCAUCCCAGGGAGGCUGGAAAACAGCUCAUCUUUCCCAGUUAAAGAUGUGAGCUCCCAGGUUCCUGCUCCGGCUGUCCUCUCUGCCGCUUGCUGACAUGCUUCCCACCAAGACUCUUAACCCUCUGGAAGCAUGAACCAAAAUCAACGCUUUGUUCUGUGAGGUCUUUUGGCUGCAGCGCCUUAUCACAGCAGCACAGAACUACCUAAGUCUACUGUCCAUCAGAAUUAGAGGAUAAGGCCCUACUGCUGAAGAUAUCACAUACCUUACUGCAAGGCUUAGAGAAACAAGCGAGCAUAGAGCUGGAAACUUCAUCCCUUCUGUCUAGCUUUUCAAGUUCCAGAAGGUGCUAUGCAGGAUGCUGCAGGAGAAAAAUGCACCAUCAGUCUUACUCAUCUGUGAACCCCAUGAACCAAAAACAAACCAGCCACCUGAGCAAGACGUCGCCACCUGUGUAGUAGUGGUACAAGUGUUGUGGAUAACCAAACGCUCUCAGAUUGAACCAGGUUCCAGUGGAAGGCUCCAAACCCAGACCACACUGACAAUCCUGGUCAAACUCAGUGAAUCACAAAACAAACCAGACAGACAUGAUGUGGGAAAGAGAUGGGCGAAUGGGAGAGGGCGGAGGGUGAGAGUAGUCAGUACACAUUAGGUACUUGUGUGAAACUGUCAAAUAACAAAUUUAACUAAUAAAAAAAGGGACAAUUUAGACGCCAGAAUGAUAGGAGACACUUGACAAGCAAGAUUAAUGUCUGCCCUGUGAGUUCACCUUCAAAAUGGAUACUUCUCAAAGGAGGCUCAUGUUAGAUUAGAUAAGUAGCAUAAAGGAAACAAAGUUAUCACUGAAUCACAUUUCUUUAAGAUCCUUUAAGACAGUAUCAGUUAUCAGCACUCAAGUACAGGUUCAAGCAAAAUGCUUUAACAGAGCGGAGGAAAUGAAAAUAAACCCUGGAGUGAAAACACAAACUAAUGCAGGGUUCACCCUCUCUAACAGGUGCUUCAGGCGACUGACAACUCCUUCCCACCCACGUCUCUUUGAUGUGAUCGCUUUACUUAUGGGCAUCUGCAAACAGCAAGCACACAGCAUUUAAGCUAGCAUCUGCACACAUUCCUAACUGACUGGACAAAGUACUUAAAAGUAUUUUGAUGCGCAAAGAGGCUUCAAGUGUAAGCAAAUUAACUUUAAACUUUUGACCUUUUGACAACCAAGAAAACUUUCUGAAAGCAGAACCCCACACUGAAGCUCAGGAUGGAGAAGCUGGGCCUGAAGAUGUAACUCUGUGGUAGAGCACUUGUCCAGCAUGUGCAGUCCUGACCCCUGCUCGCAUGGAGGGGCAGAAGAAAAUGCUGAACUUCUGCUGCGGACUGAAGUGGGAGCAGUCCCCGAAGGUAGCCUGUGCCUCCUCUCACCUAGUAAUAAUAGAAAAGAGGAACUCACGGUACUGGGGGUCACAGCCCACCUGACGGAGAACAGAAGAACUAACAAAGUAAACCGACAUGAUCAUGUGACAGAGGGCGGGGCAGGACAACUGGGCGUCUGGGACGAGUUGAGAAGACAUAGGAGCAGCUUCUGGAUCCCAGAGAAGGUUCAGCCAAUGCAAAGACCCCAAGAAACCUGUUCAAGAGACAAAGGCAAUUUGGCGGAUACAAGCGAAGUAGACAGGGAAAUACGGAAGAGGAAACGAGGCCAGAGCAGCUGGACAAACACAUUCUUCAGAGUGCAGUCCUCAUCCGAGGUGGGACAAGAACCUCUGCAAGAUUAAGGAGAGAACAGCACCCUGCUUCACAGUGCAGAUGCUGCUCAUGGGACACUGUCACAGGCAGAGGAACUGGAGACACCGAGGGAACCCCAGCAGAUACACAUAAAACUGUGGCGGCUAGACUGCUGGUUUAGAAUGGUGAGCUUCAGUAGACAGCUUCAAGACGUGGCAUCGAUACAAUGUGGGGGGCAGAGAGAAAAAAAAAAA